rnacentral:rRNA from 1 species
CCUACGGGUGGCAGCAGUGAGGAAUAUUGGUCAAUGGGCGCUAGCCUGAACCAGCCAAGUAGCGUGAAGGAUGACUGCCCUACGGGUUGUAAACUUCUUUUAUAAAGGAAUAAAGUGCAGCAUGUGUACCGCUUUGAAUGUACUUUAUGAAUAAGGAUCGGCUAACUCCGUGCCAGCAGCCGCGGUAAUACGGAGGAUCCGAGCGUUAUCCGGAUUUAUUGGGUUUAAAGGGAGCGUAGACGGGUUGUUAAGUCAGUUGUGAAAGUUUGCGGCUCAACCGUAAAAUUGCAGUUGAUACUGGCAGCCUUGAGUACAGUUGAGGUAGGCGGAAUUCGUGGUGUAGCGGUGAAAUGCUUAGAUAUCACGAAGAACUCCGAUUGCGAAGGCAGCUUACUAGACUGUAACUGACGUUGAUGCUCGAAAGUGUGGGUAUCAAACAGGAUUAGAUACCCGGGUAGUC